CUACUGAGGUAUUCUGUAUGUGAAUCUCUGUCUGCAAUUACAUUUCAUUACUACAGUGCUUUAUACCAAGGUUCCUGUGUCUGUGUCAUCUAUCUGGAAGACUGAUUGUUAAAGGAAACUUACAUCACCCCAUGCAAAGGACUACCCAACACACCAUUACCAAAUACUCUCUCCGACAUCUUCAGUCACAGACAGUCAGAAUUUGGAUGCCUGGUGCCUGGACAUGGGGUAGUAUUGUCUUAGGAGUGCUGGGAAAAGCACACCCUGGGAGAGGCUGUAGUGUAGCCGUCACGGCUCAGCAGGUGUUCAUCCUGGGGCCUAGCAGGGGCUGCCGCUGUGAUGUGCAGGAAUGUGUCGGGCGAGGGGGACACCAGGCUGGUGGAGCUGGAGAGGGAUUAGUGCCCAGCACCCACCAACCCCUCACAGCAGGAGCUGUCAUGUCAACCCAGCCUCACUCUGAUUGGGUAUUGGUCAGGGGACAGUUUCAGGUCACAGCACCGGCAGCCUUGAACGCUGGGCACACCAUUCUCUCUCACAAUGUACAGCAGGCAACAUAUACAUGCUCUGACAACCCACGGUGGAGCAACAAAAGAGGAAGGGGAGGUUGAGUCUCUAUCGAUUACCCUCUUCGGUAAUCUCCACCCAGCCAUUUCAAAACUGAGUUCUUCCCAGUAAAUUCUGGAAGUAAUUUAUAUCAUUUAACAUAUUCACAUUGUAUGUUUUGAAAGUGCAUUCUCCGGAUGAUUCUGUUGUGAUUCUGGGACAGUUCUCUCACUUCAUAGUGGAAACACCAUUCAUAGUUGUAGAGGGAGAGAGUUACGUAACAUUUCCCUCGGGUCAUAUUGCAUGUAGUAUCUGGCUACAGUAUGCACCAACAGUGUUCUGUAAUGUAAUGAUCCAUGUCUCUUAUGGUGUUCAAAUCGAAGUUUAUUGGUCACAUACACAGUUAAGCUGAUGUUAUAACGUGUGCAGAGAAAUGCUUCUGUUUCCGGCUCCUCAACAGUACAGUGUUAUUUCUCUAUUUCUCUUCUUAAGCUAUAUUAUGUAUCCUUCCCUUUCAGACCCACUCUAUUGGACUCAUUAGCUGUGGAAUACGACCGGAUCCAUAGACAUUCCAGGUCCAAUAUGAUUUCAGACGGAAUGUCAGGCAUUACAAAAUUGACCCUGGAGUGAUUUGUGGGAGAUGGAGGAGGAGAAGGACGAAAAAAGUUAACUGUGCAUGAUGGAGAAAAGGUAAUGGCUCUGAAGGUUAUUACAAGGUUAGACGUUGCUGUUUGUGAGAUUCGUAGUGCACAUCUAGUGCAACUAGGUGCUUCGGAUUGUAAGAAAGAGCCUAAUGUUAUAGUGGCAGCAGAGUGCUGUCUACAGGCAGCUACAGGGGCAUGUGUGAGUGUUCAUGUAUACAGGGGCAGCUGGCUCUAACUUCAGAGGGGCUCCCUAAUGAUGGGGACCAGGCAGCCAGGCAGCAGCUGGGCUGCAGUGGGAGAGAGAGCCCUACCCUGACUGCCAUUGAGAACCCCACUAUCUGACCCAGAGAUGAGACAACCUCUGAUCCAAGCUCUAGCUACCAAACAAUCAUACCAGCAUCAGGCUAUAAACAAUACUGUCUCCCAGUGCCAAGCUCCUCCAAAACAGCCCCACUUAUAUUGUCAUGGAGUAAUCCCCCUGUUGAAAUGUACUGUUUUAGCAGUGUUAUAAAUCUGUCUGAGUAUGUCUCCCUUCCCUCCCCUCCCGCUGUUUUUCCUCUGUCAGACCAGUAGAAACGCACUCUGAUGCCCUGCUCUGCCCCUGUCACCCCACAUCUCUUAAAUAACUCUCCCUUCAAGUUGUUCACUUCCUCCGGUGCUUGGGGGUCAUUCCCUGUCCCUGUCCGGGUGCUUCUGCCUGGCCUGUUUCCCGGUUGGCAUCCUGCCAGAGGGGAAACAGUAUCGUACCACUCUGGUCAUGGAAAUGGGGGUUAGUGAGGUAGCACUCACACUCUAUUCAUCAAAAGACAUCGAAUGCAAUGGGACACGAUGUAAUCUACAUCACUGAUGUGUGUCUAAAGAGCUAAAGGAGUAUUUUGUGAAAACACUCUUGAUGUGUUUCUCUGUUUAUAGGUGGCUGAGGGCUGUAUUGAGACAUGACUGUGUUCUGACUUGUCUUAGUCGGGUUCCAUUCUUUGACCUCAUUCCAAGAAUACUAUAAAAGUCAAAGGUCAGCUCUUGCUAAUGGAAUGCAUUGCCUGUAGUGAUAACAAUGUAGAUGACCUGUCGACCAGGGCAUUAUCUCAGCCUUGGGUUGAAUAACAUGUCAGGUGGAGAGGUGAGUGUGGUCAGCAGUACUCGGUCACUUACAACUCUCUGAGGAAUGUUCCAUCCUUCCAUCCUCCUGCCCUGGAGGGACCCUGAAGAAGGGAUUGAGACAGGGGUCAGAGCUUGGCUUUGGGCCAUAAACUGCAUCCUCCUGCUAUUCAUCUGCUCAUUAGUUAUGUUUUAUUGUUAAAUAUAGUUAUAGACCUUGUAUUUAGGCCCUAAAUAUAGUUAUAGACCUUGCCAAGUCUAGGACAAAAAGGCUUCUCAACAGUUUUUACCCCCAAGCCAUAAGACUCCUGAACAGGUAACCAAAUGGUUACCCGGACUAUUUGCAUUAUAUCCAAAUAUUGUCUACAAGCUACAAGACAUUAUUAAACCAAAGGGAGAUAUUUUAUGCUUUCUACAACAGCUGUAGCCCAGAACUGAGUGAGAUGUACUUUCAUUGAGUGAAGAAAAUUAUUUUUAAAUGUUUUAUUUAACUAGGCAAGUCAGUUAAGAGCAAAUUCUUAUUUACAAUGACGGCCUACCCCGGCCAAACCCGGACGACGCUGGGCCAAUUGUACUCUGCCCUAUGGGACUCCCAAUCACGGCCGGAUGUGAUGCAGCUUGGAUUCGAACCAGGUACUGCAGUGACACCUCUUGCAAAUUAGGGGUCUGUACUGCACACUCAGUGACAGAUGUACUGUACUCUAGAAAGAUCUGUGUCUUUACUGAAAGCCGAUGAUAAAUGCGGAUUUAAUAAAUUGAGCUUAGUUUGGAGACCAAAGGCAGGAAAGGAGAGCAAUGGGAAUAGACAUUUUAUUUAUGAGCCUUUCUGUAAAGCACAAGCAUGACUCAGUUUUAGAGUAAUUAGCAGUUAUUUAUCACCAUUGGGAUUAUCUCGGCCCUCCCAAAUGGCCAAAGCAAGAGGAUGCUCACGUUCACAUCCAAGGUCACACAACUCUCAUACAAAUAUCCACAAACACAGGCGCUACACAAUAGGCAGUAGGCUCAACACAGUCUUUCAGACUCAACACGCUACAGUGUGACCAGUUGACCAUUGGUGUGUGGAGUCCCCAGGUCUUGGUGUGGUUUCCUCUCACUGUGCUGAGAGGAUACAUCACAACCUCCUGUUUACACGCCUGGUUCAAGGUAACGAAAGUGGUGAGGAGAAAUGCCACAGUGCAGUAACGAGGGCUGUCAGGGUCUCUUUUGACCAGAGCCAUCCUGUCAUUGUGGGUCUUAUACCGAGGGGUGGCAUAAGGACCGUAUUGUGAGAGACCCACCUAAUGUUAUUGAAAGUAAUCAGUCACAAAGGGGCUGAGCUGAUGAGGGGCUGGGUGGUUUCUGCCCUGGGAGCUGGGAUAUUGGGUCAUUUCCCUGGGACCUGAGGUCCAGAUUUAUGGCAGGGUCCUGUUUCACCAGGGACACCAGUACACUGUGUCUGACCCCUGGGUCAAGCUCUAUUGUAAUAUAGAACCUACUUGGGUCCUGCACUGGGUGACCUGGUGUAUAGUGUGUGAAUGAGUGUGCAAAUUCUUGCCUGAUUUAUGCCCAUGUUCCUUUGAUAAUAUCAGUGCCCAUAAUUCUAUUUGUAAAAAAGAGAGAUAAGAAUGGCUCCAUAACCACUCAAUGGAGAUCUGUCAGGUUAACUCUGACCUCCAAUGUGAACUGCAGUUGUGUGUGAGAGGUUGGUUUGAAGGAGGGGGCGCUGGGGCCACUAUCCUGACCCCCCUCUGUUUCCCUCUCGUUUUCUCUCCCUCCUAUUUCUCACUUGCUUUCUCUCUUGCUCCCUCUCCUCUACUCUGAGGAUGUCUGGCUGAUAGGCUGUAAUCAGCAGCAGACAGGCGAAGGGUGUGUGCUCAUUCCCCUCCUGUACUCCCUGUUCAACCACAACUGCACACGACUCCAACACCAUCAUUAACGUUGCCGACAACACGAUGGUGGUAGGCCUGAUCACCGACAACGAUGAGACGGCUUUUAGGGAGGAGGUCAGAGACCUGGCACUGUGGUGCCAGGACAACAACCUCUCCCUCAACGUCAGCAAGACAAAAGAGCUGAUCAUGGACUACAGGAAAUGUAGGGCCGAUCCCCCAUUCACGUCGAUGGGGCUGUGUUGGAGCGGGUUGAGAGCAUCAAGUUCCUCAGUGUCCAUAUCACUAAGGGCCUAUCAUAGUCCAAACACAUCAACACAGUCAUGAAGAGGGCACAACAGCGCCUUUUCUCCCUCAGGAGGGUGAAAAGAUUUACAGCUGCACCAUUGAGAGCAUCUUGACUGGCUGCAUCACCGCAAAGUAUGGCAACUGCUUGGCAUCCGACCGCAAGGCGCAACAGAGGGUAGUGCGGACUGGGGCUGAGCUCCCUGCCAUCCAGGACCUCUACACAAGGAGGUGUCAGAGGAAGGCCCUAAAAAUGAUCUAAGACACACAAGUCAUAGACUGUUCUCUCUGCUACCGCACGGCAAGCGUUACCGAUGCACCAAGUCUGGAACCAACAGGACCCCGAACAGAUUCUACCCUCAAGCCAUAAGACUGCUAAACAGUUAGUUAAAUAGUAAACCAAAUAGUUACCCGGACUAUCUGCAUUGACCCUUUUUUCACUCAUCACGUACGCUGCUGCUACUGUUUACUAUCUGUCACUUUAUUCCUAGUUAUAUAUACAUAUAUUAUCUACCUCAAUUACCUCGUACCCCUGCACAUCGACUUGGUACUGGUACCCCGUGUAUAUAGUCAAGUUAUCAUUAAUCAUUGUGUCUUUAUUAUUACUUGUAUUAUUACGUGUUUUACUUUUCUAUUAUUUCUCUAUUUUCUUUCUCUCUGCAUUGUUGGGAAGGACCCGUAAGUAAGCAUUUCACUGUUAGUCUACACCUGUUGUUUAUGAAGCAUGUGAUGAAUGCAAUUUGAUUUGAUCUGCCACAGGAAACAUCUCCCCAUCACAUCUACAGAAACCAGCACUUCACCAGAGACCCCCAGACAGACACAGGGAAGAGAGGAAGAGGGACCGAGGGGGGCGGGAGGUAAAAAAAAAAGGAUUCUCCUCGAUUCGAACAAAGAACGCAAAAGGCUUAUCGUUCACAAACUAAACAAGAAAUACACAUUUUUACCAGAUUACCUUUUUCAAACAAUAAGACGGAAAUUCAAUUGGAAUUUUGUAUGCAGUAAUACUAGUAAUACUAAUUGUCUGUUUUUCAUUAUCAUUUUGAACAGAAAUCUUCUUAGCUGCCCUUUUGGCAACUUGAAUGAAAGCAUAUGUGUGUGUGUGGUGGGGAUUGUGUAAGUAAAAAUAGUAUAGAACACUGUCAAAUGCUUUAGGGCGUUAAUCAAGAUAGGGGAUGGGAGAAGAUCUGUCUCAUCAUAUUUUGUUGUGUGCUUUGUGUCCUGGCCCUGGGGCUUUUCCACUACUAACAGCCAGGUGAGCUCUCCUGAGAGACAAAUCCUCCUGAAACCCACCAGUGUGUUAGGAAGAGAGAGGUGUUGAGGUGUCUUUCACUCUGCUUAAGAAUAGAACAAUGUUUCUGACACACCGACCUGACAUUCUGGAAUGCUGAGGACUGUUUGACUUUGGGCUGGUAAAAGCCAGCCCCUCAGUACCCCGGUAACAAGGAUGAUCCUAGAGUAAAACUUAGAUGUCUACAUGUCUCUCUCUCUUCUUCUCAAAUCCUCUGACCUUGGGUAGCACUCACCCAUCUCUCUGCCUCCGCACUGACCUGUGAGCUCUUUGUGGCACAGGUGAGUGCGGGAGCAUCCUGUAUUUGUAUAAUGGGGGGUAACAGUUUUAACCAUGAUAGUGGAAGUAAAUGUUUUUGGUCACAACAACAGAGGACAUGGUGGAGAAAUGUUUUGGAGAAUCAUUUUGUGUUUGAUCCCUCGAGUAGAUGUCCUCCAGGAGUCUUACAUUUACCUCAUCAUCUGAGGCACAGCUAAUGGGCUUUAAUGCCUUGUCAGAGAGAGCUCAGAGAGAUUGACAGUGUCACGGCUCCUCCUCUUCCGGCAGGUAGAGAGGGUCAACCAGGAUGUGGGCAGGUUUCUGCAGUCUUAUUGCCAGGACCGGCCGGGGGAGUGGGCGGUGUUCGUGCCCUGGGCCGAGAUGGCACAGAACUCGCUUCGCCACUCCUCCACUAACCUCUCAGGGUCAGACCGAGGCUCCUGCGAUGGACGACUGGUUCAGGCACGCGGAGGAGACAUGGGAGGCCACACAUGUUCACCUCCAGCGAGCUGCGCCUCGCCAGAAAACCAGCGCGGUCCGUCACCGCAGUGAGACCCCGGUGUUCGCACAGGGGUUUCUGGCUCUCGUCCCGAAACCUGGCCCUCCACCUGCCCUGCCGGAAGCUGGGUCCGCGGUUUGUGGGGCCCUUCAAAGUCCUGAGGAAGGUGAACAAGGUGUGUUACAGAUUACAGCUCCCUCUGAUUAUCGUACUAACCCCUCGUUCCAUGUGUCUCUCCUCAGGCCGGUGGUGGCUGGUCCACUCCAGGAAUCUGAGGCGAGGGAGGUCCCUCCGCCCCCUUUGGACAUCGAGGGGGCCCUGGUGUACUCCGUUCGUUCCAUCCUGGAUUCGAGGCAUCGGGCAGGGGGCCUUCAGUACCUUGUGGAGUGGGAGGGAUACGGUCCGGAGGAGAGGUGCUGGGUCCCGGUUGCGGAUGUUUUGGACCCCGAACUGCUGCGGGAGUUUCACCAUCGCCGGCUGGAUCGCCCUGCGCUUCGCCCUCCGCAUCGUCCUGAGGUCGGUGUCGGCGUGCCACUGGAGCCGCUCGUCAAGGGAGGGGUACUGUCACGACUUCCGCCGAAGUCGGCUCCUCUCCUUGUUCAGGCGGCGUUCGGCGAUCGACGUCACCGGCUUUCUAGCCAUCGCCGCUCCAUUUCUCAUAUGUCCAUUUGUUUUGUCUUGUUCCAUACACACCUGGUUUACAUUCCCCAAUCAAUCUACAUGUAUUUAGUCCUCUGUUCCCCAUCAUGUCUUUAUGUGUAAUUGUUUAUUGUUACGUGGGAUAUUUGUCAGGCGCUGCACUUUUGUUAUUAGACCGUGUUUUUGGCACUAGUAUGUUUUAGGUGCUGUCGUUGUUGACCGGUAUUAAAGUGCGCCUGUUUAUUAUACUCCAAGGGAAGCUUCUUCUUCAUGACACCCACCAGUAUUAUUAGAAACAUCAGUCAAGCUGUUAGGGCCUUGCAAACAGAAGUGCCUGCUGAUGUCCCAUUCCCCAUGUGAUGUAUGGUUAGCCCUCACUCGACAAACAUGUAGGGCAAGGGCCAUGCACCAGGGCACCCCUUGUUGAUGAAGUGGCACCACCCUAAACAAAUUCCCACAAAGGCAGGAAGGGCAGGGGCAUUGAACCCCUACUCCCUAGAAAAAGGCCUUCCCGUCCACUCAGCCCUGUGUACAGGGCAUUGACUGUAAGGACACACAGGGAGGAGCACAACGAUGGGCAAUACAGGCUGUUUUUCCUGUUGAAGCAUUCUUUGUGUGAGAGAAGAGGACUCCUCUCUGGAAACACAGGAAGGCUCACCAGGGGUCGGCAGAGGAAUGUAAACACACACAUAGACUCCCUCCACACCACAGAGUGUGCUGUGUGCAAACUUGACAUAUCCCAUAGGUCUUCCCCCGGAAUGAAAAACAUAAACAUCACGCUGAUUUCACUUGUGUGGAUAAUGGACGGAUGUUAACUUGCUUACCCGUAAAACUUCAAUUAAAUGCUGAGUCUCAAAUAGACUUCAGCCAACCAAGUCAUAGACGGUUCUCUCUGCUGCCGCACGGCAAGUGGUACCGUUGCACCAAGUCUGGACCCAACAGGACCCAGCUUCUAUCCCCAAGCCAUAAGGCUGCUAAAUAGUUAGUUAAAUAGUUAACCUAAUUGCUACCCAGACUAAAAAGGCAAAAAAGAUCAUCAAGGACAACAACCACCCGAGCCACUGCCUUUUCACCCCGCUAUCAUCCAGAAGGCGAGGCCAACAGACUGUUAAAUAGCCAUCACUAGCACAUUAGAGUCUGCUGCCCUAUAUACAUAGACUUGAAAUCACUGGUGACUUUAGUAAUGGAACACUAGUCACUUUAAUAAUCUUUACAUACUGCUUUACUCAUCUCAUAUGUAUAUACUGUAUUCUAUUCUACUGUAUCUUAUUCUAUGCCGCUCUGACAUUGCUCAUCCAAAUAUUUAUAUAUUCUUAAUUCCAUUCCUUUACUUAAGAUUUGUGUGUAUUGUUGUGAAAUGUUAGAUAUUACUUGUUAGAUAUUACUGCACUGUUGGAGCUAGAAACACACGCAUUUCGCUACACUCGCAAUAACAUCUGCUAAACACGUGUAUGUGACCAAAAAAAUGUGAUUUGAUUAGAUUUUGACUAUCGGCAUUGACCCUUUUUGCACUAACUUUUUUUGACUCAUCACAUACGCUGCUGCUACUGUUUACUAUCUGUCACUUUACUCCGAGUUAUAUGUCACCUAAAACACUCACCCCGCCCUCAACCUCAAUGCUCUCCAGAGGGUAGUGCGGUCUGCACAACACAUCACCGGGGGCAAACUAACUGCCCUCCAAGACACCUACCGCACCCGAUGUCACAGGAAGGUCAAAAAGAUCAUCAAGGACAACAACCACUGCCUGUUCACCCCGCUAUCAUCCAGAAGGCGAGGUCAGUACAGGUGCAUCAAAGCUGGGACCGAGAGACUGAAAAACAGCUUCUAUCUCAAAGCCAUCAGACUGUUAAACAGCCAUCACUAACAUUGAGUGGCUGCUGCGAACAUACAGACACAAAUCUCUGGCCACUUAAAUAAAUUGACUUAAUAAAUGUAUCACUAGUCACUUUAAAUAACGCCACUUUAAUAAGGUUUACAUAUCCUACAUUACUUAUCUCAUAUGUAUAUACUGUAUUCUAUACCAUCUACUGCAUCUUGCCUAUGCAGCACGGCCAUCGCUCAUCCAUAUAUUUAUAUGUACAUAUUCUUAUUCAUCCCUUUACAUUUGUGUGUAUAAGGUAGUCAUUGUGAAUUUGUUAGAUUACUGUUAGAUUACUUACGGGAAGGACCCGUAAGUAAGCAUUUCACUGUUAGUCUACACCUGUUGUUUACAAAGCAUGUAGUGAAUAAAAUUGUAUUUUAUUUGGCCAUGCAUGACUGACCGUAGCGGCAAAGCCAGCAAAAUGCAAAGGGUUUGUUUCAAACUGUCUCUUUUCAUGUACUGUAGUAUCUAAAAGACAGGUCUUCUGCUGCCAAAUCUGUACCCCUAGCCACUAGCUAAAUCCACACAGAUUUACCCAUGACUUGACUUUGGAACAUUGUUAUUUUUUCUUUGCAUCAGGGUUUUUUCCCAUCCUGCCAAAUGAUGUUGGUUGUUCUGUUAGAAGUGAGCUCGGGAUCAAAAGGAGGGAUGGUGUGAUGGGUGUAUGGGCAUGGGGGGGUGUUGCAGCUGUCUGGAUCAAAUGGAUCAGAGUCAACUGGGGUGGGGUGGUUUAGGCAGGGGGCUCAUAGGGGACACCUAUUCUUCUGUGUCAUAGCCAGCCUGCACGGCACAUAUGCCAGUCCCAAGGCCACUCUGAAAGCCAUGCCCCCAUGCAGCCUUCUCAACUGUAACUCUGUGUAAUAACAUGGCCUGUUCUUCCAUUAAUGGUUUCCAUGAUGCGGCCGUCCUCUUCACUCCACUGAAAUGUGUGUGAGUGAUAUAUAUAUAUAUAUGUCCCCAGCAGACACACGUUGUGAAUGUGUGUACAUGAGCACUUUGUUUGAGUUUUGUUUUCAGACACCAAGACAAUAGAAAUGCCAAAACAGAUGUAGAAACAGUUAGAGUGGUGUUGCGGAUGUUUGUACUCCCUCUCUCCCCCUCGCCUUGUGAUUGCACAUCAACGUUGUAGAGUAAGUGUUAAAGUGCCUGUGAUUGAUUUGGUUGUUUAGCUCCUUGAAGCAGUAGUCUGUUAAUGAAGGAGCCCUGAACUCGGACUGCAGAGAGUGGUGAGAUCACAGACAGCCCCUGGACAACACUGUCCUUGGAACAAUGGUUAACCCUAAUUAGAAGUGUUAUUUGUAACAUAGGCAGCUUUUUGUGCAGCCACUGGCCAUUGUCAUUUAACCCAAAAGGCGAUAAUGCUUGAUAGUGGGUUAGGUGUUUGAAGGUUUUAAUGGUACCUGGUAAAAGUGGUGAACAGUUGAGAACAGCUGACAUGGGUUAAGGAAGUGAGAGAAGCACUGUCAUGGCAAAUACACACACUCCCUACUGUUUGUUUGCUCCCAGCUUGGGGAGGUGGGCUGAGCUGGUUUCAACACUGACUGAUUUAUAGUUUGGCGCUGUCUAUCAAGCAGCUGACAGAUGGACAUUGCACUGCAACCUCAGCAGCACAGCAGACACAUCACUUUCCAAACUCCAUCCAUUUCACUACCAACUGGAAUGCUAAGGAUAAGUCAAUGGGGCAUUCUUUUCUACACUUUUGACUACUUUAAUACACAUAUAAGUGAAUUUGUCCCAAUACUUUUGGUCCCCUAAAAUGGGGGACUAUGUACAAAAAGUGCUUUAAUUUCUAAAUGGAAAAGACCCUCAAAUUAAAGCUGACAGUCUGCACUUUAUUGUCACAGUCAUUGUAUCAUUUCAAAUCGAAAGUCCUGGAGUACAGAACCAAAAC
rnacentral:lncRNA from 1 species